AGUUCAUUGAGAAUGGAUUGAAACUGAUGAAGAGCUGGAAGGAGUUAACUGAUGAGUAGACAUUACAACAUUUCUUAUAUUUGCAAGAUGAAGCUGAAAGUCCCAUGCAGGAUGAUGCUUCUCUACAGUGGAUGAUGAAGGCAUGCUGAUUACAAACCCAGGAGAGGAACAAAGAACA